GUGCUAGCUGCAGCUGCACAGAACCUAAAGUCAGUUACACAGAGAAGAUUAGCAUUGCCCCUGUUCAAGGAUGAUACAGAAAGUCAUGAAGCAUUUUGCAGUUUU